UACGAAGGGGGCUAGCGUUGCUCGGAAUUACUGGGCGUAAAGGGCGCGUAGGCGGACAGUUUAGUCAGAGGUGAAAGCCCAGGGCUCAACCUUGGAAUUGCCUUUGAUACUGGCUGUCUUGAGUUCGGGAGAGGUGAGUGGAAUGCCGAGUGUAGAGGUGAAAUUCGUAGAUAUUCGGCGGAACACCAGUGGCGAAGGCGACUCACUGGCCCGAUACUGACGCUGAGGCGCGAAAGCGUAGGGAGCAAACAGG
rnacentral:rRNA from 1 species